rnacentral:rRNA from 1 species
UACGAAGGGGGCUAGCGUUGCUCGGAAUCACUGGGCGUAAAGGGUGCGUAGGCGGGUCUUUAAGUCAGGGGUGAAAUCCUGGAGCUCAACUCCAGAACUGCCUUUGAUACUGAGGAUCUUGAGUACGGGAGAGGUGAGUGGAACUGCGAGUGUAGAGGUGAAAUUCGUAGAUAUUCGCAAGGACACCAGUGGCGAAGGCGGCUCACUGGCCCGUUACUGACGCUGAGGCACGAAAGCGUGGGGAGCAAACAGG